UACGUAGGGGCAAGCGUUGUCCGGAAUCAUUGGGCGUAAAGAGCGUGUAGGCGGCCAAUUAAGUCCUGCGUGAAAUCUCGGGGCUCAACCCCGAGCGGUCGUGGGAAACUGGUUGGCUAGAGUGCGGGAGAGGAGAGUGGAAUUCCUGGGUGUAGCGGUGAAAUGCGCAGAUAUCAGGAAGAACACCCGUGGCGAAGGCGGCUCUCUGGAACGCAACUGACGCUGAGACGCGAAAGCGUGGGGAGCAAACAGG
rnacentral:rRNA from 1 species